rnacentral:rRNA from 1 species
UACGGGAGGCAGCAGUGGGGAAUAUUGCACAAUGGGCGCAAGCCUGAUGCAGCCAUGCCGCGUGUAUGAAAAAGGCCUUCGGGUUGUAAAGUACUUUCAGUCGUGAGGAAGGUGUUAAGGUUAAUAACCUUAGCAAUUGACGUUAGCGACAGAAGAAGCACCGGCUAACUCCGUGCCAGCAGCCGCGGUAAUACGGAGGGUGCGAGCGUUAAUCGGAAUUACUGGGCGUAAAGGGCACGCAGGCGGUUAAUUAAGUUGGAUGUGAAAUCCCCGGGCUUAACCUGGGAAUGGCAUUCAAGACUGGUUAGCUAGAGUCUUGUAGAGGGGGUAGAAUUCCAUGUGUAGCGGUGAAAUGCGUAGAGAUGUGGAGGAAUACCGGUGGCGAAGGCGGCCCCUGGACAAAGACUGACGCUCAUGCGCGAAAGCGUGGGGAGCAAACAGGGAUUAGAUACC